rnacentral:rRNA from 1 species
UUUGACCUCAAAUCAGGUAGGACUACGCGCUGAACUUAAGCAUA